CCUACGGGGAGCAGCAGUCGAGAAUCAUUCACAAUGGGGGAAACCCUGAUGGUGCGACGCCGCGUGGGGGAAUGAAGGUCUUCGGAUUGUAAACCCCUGUCAUGUGGGAGCAAAUUAAAAAGAUAGUACCACAAGAGGAAGAGACGGCUAACUCUGUGCCAGCAGCCGCGGUAAUACAGAGGUCUCAAGCGUUGUUCGGAAUCACUGGGCGUAAGGCGUGCGUAGGCUGUUUCGUAAGUCGUGUGUGAAAGGCGCGGGCUCAACCCGCGGACGGCACAUGAUACUGCGAGACUAGAGUAAUGGAGGGGGAACCGGAAUUCUCGGUGUAGCAGUGAAAUGCGUAGAUAUCGGGAGGAACACUCGUGGCGAAGGCGGGUUCCUGGACAUUAACUGACGCUGAGGCACGAAGGCCAGGGGAGCGAAAGGGAUUAGAUACCCGAGUAGUC
rnacentral:rRNA from 1 species